UCUCUUUUUUCUUAGUGAGUCUGCCUAAGAGAUUGUCAAUUUUGUUUAUCUUCUCAAAGAACCAGCUCAUAGUUUCAUUGAUCCCUUCUACUGCUUUUUACAUUUUAAUAGUAUU